GACGAACGCUGGCGGCGUGCUUAACACAUGCAAGUCGAACGGAAAGGCCCUGCUUUUGUGGGGUGCUCGAGUGGCGAACGGGUGAGUAACACGUGAGUAACCUGCCCUUGACUUUGGGAUAACUUCAGGAAACUGGGGCUAAUACCGGAUAGGAGCUCCUGCUGCAUGGUGGGGGUUGGAAAGUUUCGGCGGUUGGGGAUGGACUCGCGGCUUAUCAGCUUGUUGGUGGGGUAGUGGCUUACCAAGGCUUUGACGGGUAGCCGGCCUGAGAGGGUGACCGGCCACAUUGGGACUGAGAUACGGCCCAGACUCCUACGGGAGGCAGCAGUGGGGAAGAUUGCACAAUGGGCGGAAGCCUGAUGCAGCAACGCCGCGUGCGGGAUGACGGCCUUCGGGUAGUAAACCGCUUUCGCCUGUGACGAAGCGUGAGUGACGGUAAUGGGGAAAGAAGCACCGGCUAACUACGU
rnacentral:rRNA from 1 species